GAUGAAGAACGUAGCGAAAUGCGAUAAGUAAUGUGAAUUGCAGAAUUCAGUGAAUCAUCGAAUCUUUGAACGCACAUUGCGCCCGCCAGUAUUCUGGCGGGCAUGCCUGUUCGAGCGUCAUUACAACCCUCAGGCCCCCGGGCCUGGCGUUGGGGAUCGGCGGAGCCCCCCGCGGGCACACGCCGUCCCCCAAAUGCAGUGGCGGUCCCGCCGCAGCUUCCAUCGCGUAGUAGCUAACACCUCGCGACUGGAGAGCGGCGCGGCCACGCCGUAAAACACCCAACUCUUCUGAAGUUGACCUCGAAUCAGGUAGGAAUACCCGCUGAACUUAAGCAUAUCAAUAAGCGGAGGA
rnacentral:misc_RNA from 1 species